rnacentral:tRNA from 1 species
GGUUCUGUGGUGUAAUGGUUAGCACUUUGGACUCUGAAUCCAAAGAUCCGAGUUCGAGUCUCGGCAGAACAU